CAUGUCCGUUAGCCUCCAUCCUGCUUCAGCAAUGAAAGUGGUGGGGCAAAUUCUGAGCGAGAUCCGGUCAAUCUGGUUGCAGUAAUACCACGCUACGCUUUUUUUUGAGAUCCUGAAAAGGACAGAGGGGCCAUGUAUAUGUGUGCAGCUGGAUAUGUAUUUGCAGGUGGCGUAGCAAAUUCUGCUGAAUCCCCACUGCCUGGUGUGGACAGAAGCUGUGCAUGUUGCAGCAGAAUUGUGCAUGUGAGAUCAAGGGGGCAUGUCAUGUGUUUCAGCACUUCACUUCCUUCAGGUAGCACGCGAUUCCCCGAGUCCAAAAAAUUUGUUAAUUCUUUAGAUGACCUGUGGACCGAUCUUUCACGAUGAAGAAUUCCUUAAGAAGAAUAGAUCUCGGCCCACCAUCCCAAUGCCUCCGUCUCAAAACAGCAACCUCCCACUGCCCUUGGUCUGCAAGGCAGUCCUUUCAAGUGCGAUGACGACGCUGGGACCUUCGUUGCCUAUUGUACGAGCUGAACUUUUGUGCUCAUCAAUUCAACGCUCUUUCCAUCAACACAUCUUGUCUUUUGACGCUUCGUGUUUUGCGCUCCUUUGACUAUCGGGUGACUGCAAACACUGAAGUUCUUGCUUACGGAGUGUGGAACAUUGUUUUCAAGUGAUCGCUGUUCUGUCAUGUUGACGCCGAGUGAAUCUUUCUUUGGCAACAUGGGCAGGCUGAC
rnacentral:lncRNA from 1 species